UGCUUGCUGGUCUAGGUGGUAUGAUUCUCGCUUUUAGGGUGCUAGAGGUCCCCGGGUUCAAACCCGUUGAGCCC